CCACAUUAAAUAAUCAUUUGAAAUGAGAAAAUGAGUUUACAUGGCAGAAGGAGUGCCAUUAAUCUUUAAGUGAAAGUUACCAAGAUGAUGAGAAAAGUUUGAUAUUAGAAUUCCCUAGUCAAAUCUGAGAAGGUGACUUAGGACGAAGGAAACAAUUAAGGUAGUUCACCACUUUACUAAGAUGAAGUGGGUAAAAGAAUGUUGUUAGGUCCUGAACUGGUCCAACAGAUGAUUGAGAAAGUCGACCACAUCAAGCAAAGAAUCAAAGAAACUCAAGAUAGACAAAAGUCUUACGCCGAUAAACGCCGAUUGGAAUUAGAAUUUAAUGUUGGGGAUCGAGUUUUCCUCAAAGUUUCUCCCUCAAAGGGAGUUAUACGUUUCGGGAAAUAGGGGCAAGUUACGACCCCGUUAUAUAGGACCUUUUGAGAUCCUAGAUAAGUUAGGCCUUUGUAGCCUAUAAGUUGGCUCUGCCACCAAGCAUUGUGGAUGUAUACAAUACGUAUAGCACCUCGCAAUUAAGAAAGCAUGUGAUUAAGCAAGAUAAAGUAGUCCUAGCCAGGACCUAAGUUGUGAUGAGAAAUCAGUCCAGAUACUUGAUCGCAAGAUUCAAGUUUUACGAGGCAAUAAUAUUGUUCUCGUCAUGUAGUGGAACCAUCACAGGAUGGAAAAGGCCACAAAAGAGAUGAAUGAAACGAAUGACUAGUAUCACAAGAUAGAAUACCAGAUAUGCAAUUCCGAGGACGGAAUUUUUAUAAGGAGGGAGGAAUGUAAUACCCCGUUUCCCUGAGUUAAAUUUAGAAUUUAUUUUCGAAAUUUAGAAGUAAGAUGAUUCACGCCGGAUAUAAAGAAAAUGAAUUUAUUUUUAAUUCCAACAAAAAUAAAUAUGAUUUACAAAAACAUUUGUAAAUUUAGUUAUUAAAUUUAUAUGCAUUGCAUAUUUAUUUAAUUUAGCAUUCAAAGCAUUUUCACGAGCUAUUUAUUUAGCGAACCCUGAAGAAUUAUUACAGUUUUCAUAGUAUAACCCGGAAGACUUUAGUUUAUUAUAUUUAAUUUCUCCACCAAAUUUCCCACAUCUACCUACUCUUCCACCUCCUCCAUGACAGCCAUGCCACCUUCCUUUACACCUCCUUUCCACCUCCAUGACAGCCCUUUACACUUAACAUCCACUUUCAAAUUCCACUUAACAUCACUGCAGCCAAGUCAUUCCUCCUCCUACGCCAUAUCCCCUUCUCCUACAAAUCCGACAGCAAAUUCAUUCUCCCAAUCUCCAAAAUCUUUCAACAUUCAUUAUAUAUUUAUUUUCCACUCAAGAGAAGCUCAAAAGAAAUCCAGACAACAACGGCUCAACUCAAAACUUCUAAAGGUUGAGCAGUUGAUGGAAUGGAAUGAUGUUGAGCGGGUGUUCCUUUGACAUUUCAAGAAAUGUAACCUUGAGUAUACAUCUUCAUAUGUAUAUCUCACACGUUUCCGCUGCAAAACACUUUGAUUAGGAUAACUUUAUGUUAUGAAAUUGUGACACGUGUUAUUGGGUAAACCACCUUAAUCAGUUCUCAUUUAUAUGUAUGUUUUAUAAGUAUCCAAAUAAUCAUAUAUGAUCCUAGCAUUUUAUCUAUGAGUGACAUUUCCAUAUACUUUAAAUGUUAAGUAAUUGUCCAUUUC